UUGUCUUCCUCGUCUUCUUCU
rnacentral:sRNA from 1 species